AUUGAACGCUGGCGUCAGGCCUAACACAUGCCAGUCGAACGAGUGGCGGACGGGUGAGUAAUGUCUGGGAAACUGCCCGAUGGAGGGGGAUAACUACUGGAAACGGUAGCUAAUACCGCAUACCAUCGGAUGUUCCCAGAUGGGCUUAGCUAGUCGGGGGGGUAACGGCGCACCUAGGCGACGAUCCCUAGCUGGUCUGAGAGGAUGACCAGCCACACUGGAACUGAGACACGGUCCAGAAUCCUACGGGAGGCAGCAGGGGGGAAUAUUGCACAAUGGGCGAAAGCCUGAUGCAGCCAUGCCGCGUGUAUGAAGAAGGCCUUCGGGUUGUAAAGUACUUUCAGCGAGGAGGCGUUACUCGCAGAAGAAGCACCGGCUAACUCCGUGCCAGCAGCCGCGGUAAUUC
rnacentral:rRNA from 1 species